CUGAUUUCUGCACUGCAUUCGUUAAAGCUGGAAAAACACAGGGAAGACUUGCAUAACCCCAGUGUAAGAACGGCUGCUAACGCAUGAAGUGUUCCAUAUUCUA
ensembl:snRNA U6 U6 spliceosomal RNA